GGCUUUGCACAUGGCAGUAUUGUAGCCAAUGAGGUUUAUCUGAGGCGUGAUUAUUGCUAACUGAAAACUUUUCCCAAUACCCCCACCAUGACAACUUGAAAUAUAGUUGGCAUUGGCAAUUUUUGACAGUCUCUAUGUCAAAAACCUGAUA
rnacentral:snRNA from 1 species